AGAGAGAGAGAGAGAGAGAGAGAGAGAGAGAGAUUUUGUCUUUUCUUAGCGACAGAAUUAUUUGGAAGUGAUAGCACCAAACUGGAUCUGAAAAGUUGUAACUGAUUAUGAAAAAGUAGAAAAUAAAUUAACUGAAUAAAUGAGUAGACAAGAUAACAAGAGAAAAAAAAAUAAUAAAAACUCAAAGCAUCUGGCGGUACCACCACAAAGGAGGCAAAGGAAGAGGAAAACUUUAUCCGAAAUCUUGGGAUCCUGCAGGGAGUGGACGCGUGGUAGACAGUACGUUUCAAUCACUUACUUUCCUGUUGCUGUUAACGUUACUCGUGAUCACCCGUCAGUCAUUCCUCUCAACGCCUCAUUCGGUCACUCGUUUAGGGGAAGAAAAGUGAAAAUAGGGUUUAAAAAGUCGACGAGUUUGUGUCACUAGGAAGUUCUCUCUCUUGUCAACCCCGAGAAAGACUUGAGGUCGAAAACAUUCAUCCGAUAUGCUCUUACUUCGCCGCCGCCUCCGUCAGUCACGCGCGUUUUGGUGUCUGAGCGUGGUGGCGGUUUUGGCGGUCGUGAACGUGAUGCAGGAUUCCCACAGCGCGUACCUGGAAGGGCCGAUAAGUUACAUUUCAAGCCCCUGGAGUGACGCCCUAGACCCAAAGAUUCCCAGACCACCCAGACACCCCAGAGUGCUGCGCCCCUCACUGCAGGACGACACGGAGGACCAGUGGUGGACCCCUGACCACUUGCAGCAGCUCCUGGACGUGCCCACAACUACUUGCCGCCGCAUGCUGAGUCUCGGGGGCGGGCUGCGCUGUAGUGACUGCCAUACUUGCCUCAGGGAUGGACAGAAAUUCACAUGUCUCGACGAGGACGUCAGGCCGCGGCCGGGAAGCUGCCUCAUCUACUCGGUCGGAGUCGGGGGGGAGUUGUCUUGGGAUUACGCCAUGAAGAACUUCAACUGCUCUGUGUUGGCCUUCGACAUGACCAUGAUGAAUUGGACCAACAUUCAGCUUGGAACGGGACUCCACUUUCUUGACCUCGGGCUGGCAGACACCAACAGUGACGACACCAUCAAUAUGACAGCCGCGGACGGGCCAGGCGUAGAAUGGGAGGUGCGAGAGGCUCACUUCCGUACACUGGACACAAUACGAGAAGUGCUGGACCACACGCGGCGCCCCAUAGACGUGCUCAAGUUGGACAUCGAGAACUGGGAGUGGAAGGUGAUGGGCGGGCUGCUCUCCUCCCCCUCCCGCGCCAAGGUCCUGGAUGACGUAAAGCAGAUCGCUCUGGAGAUUCACCUGGACGGCCUGAAGAACGCGUCAGCGGCUGAGCGGGUGACAGAGGCACGGCACGUGGAGGAGGUGCUGAAGGCACUUCAUAACCAGGGGUUCAAAUUGGCGCAAACGGAGCUCAACACGGCGCAGCAGGAGUACGGCGAGGUGCGAGGCCAUGUGUUCCCGCUGUACAGGGAGUCACUCUUCCUUCGACGUCCAUGACGUGGGGCCUCUCGUGACGACAUCCGAGCUGUGUCAAACCGAUAUAAUCGAUGCGAAACCUUUUAGCCAUUUGGCUCUUGUUAUUUCGAACUUGUGAUCAUGAUAAGCAGCAUAGCAUUACCUCCGUGACGGGGACAACAGGUAGCGUGACUGCUGAGAUAUCUGAGCCUUGCGACACACACACACACACACA
rnacentral:misc_RNA from 1 species